CUGUCAAGUCACUGAGGAUUGGCUUUGUUCCUCUUCCAAACGCCACAGCCCCUGCCAGGGAGUGUCUUGCCUGCACUUCUGUCUGGGUCUAAUACUCUCUCCUCCCUCUGUGUUUCCAGACCUACGGCUGGCAGCAGCUGCCCUCCAGAAGGAUAACUCCUGUU
rnacentral:lncRNA from 1 species